AUGGAAACUGGUGAACAGUUUAUGUGUCUGAACUCUGGAGAGGGCAAUUUUCAAGGCAUCACAUCUCCGAGGGCAUCUAUGUCAUUCUCUUCAUGGAACCUUAGUAUGAUGCCGGUGCAGAAGGAAGGUGAGACUGAUUCGUUAUCUGAAACCUCGAAAAGCAGUUCUAGUGAUUCAGAUAUUGGUAUCAUAGAAAACAGCCCAAUGGAUCUCUAUGAAGAAGAGACCAGCGAGAGUCCACCAAGAGAGACGGUCUCUUUAUUUUCUGCAACCGUGGGUCCUAGCACUGACCAUAGCACUGAGAAUGAAGAGCUCGUGUCUGCUCACCACGAGCUUGUAGUUGCAUCGAGUCAGUGUGUCAGAGACGAGGAGACGCCAUUGGAGAAGACAUGGAACCUUAGUAUGAUGCCGGUGCAGAAGGAAGGUGAGACUGAUUCGUUAUCUGAAACCUCGAAAAGCACCUCUAGUGAUUCAGAUAUUGGUAUCAUAGAAAACAGCCCAAUGGAUCUUUAUGAAGAAGAAACCAGCGAGAGUCCACCAAGAGAGACGGUCUCUUUAUUUUCUGCAACCGUGAGUCCUAGCACUGACCAUAACACUGAGAAUGAAGAGCUCUUUUCUUUUCACAACGAG
rnacentral:lncRNA from 1 species